UGGGGGGGGCCUAUACAUGCAAGUCGAACGAACUCUGGUAUUGAUUGGUGCUUGCAUCAUGAUUUACAUUUGAGUGAGUGGCGAACUGGUGAGUAACACGUGGGAAACCUGCCCAGAAGCGGGGGAUAACACCUGGAAACAGAUGCUAAUACCGCAUAACAACUUGGACCGCAUGGUCCGAGUUUGAAAGAUGGCUUCGGCUAUCACUUUUGGAUGGUCCCGCGGCGUAUUAGCUAGAUGGUGAGGUAACGGCUCACCAUGGCAAUGAUACGUAGCCGACCUGAGAGGGUAAUCGGCCACAUUGGGACUGAGACACGGCCCAAACUCCUACGGGAGGCAGCAGUAGGGAAUCUUCCACAAUGGACGAAAGUCUGAUGGAGCAACGCCGCGUGAGUGAAGAAGGGUUUCGGCUCGUAAAACUCUGUUGUUAAAGAAGAACAUAUCUGAGAGUAACUGUUCAGGUAUUGACGGUAUUUAACCAGAAAGCCACGGCUAACUACGUGCCAGCAGCCGCGGUAAUACGUAGGUGGCAAGCGUUGUCCGGAUUUAUUGGGCGUAAAGCGAGCGCAGGCGGUUUUUUAAGUCUGAUGUGAAAGCCUUCGGCUCAACCGAAGAAGUGCAUCGGAAACUGGGAAACUUGAGUGCAGAAGAGGACAGUGGAACUCCAUGUGUAGCGGUGAAAUGCGUAGAUAUAUGGAAGAACACCAGUGGCGAAGGCGGCUGUCUGGUCUGUAACUGACGCUGAGGCUCGAAAGUAUGGGUAGCAAACAGGAUUAGAUACCCUGGUAGUCCAUACCGUAAACGAUGAAUGCUAAGUGUUGGAGGGUUUCCGCCCUUCAGUGCUGCAGCUAACGCAUUAAGCAUUCCGCCUGGGGAGUACGGCCGCAAGGCUGAAACUCAAAGGAAUUGACGGGGGCCCGCACAAGCGGUGGAGCAUGUGGUUUAAUUCGAAGCUACGCGAAGAACCUUACCAGGUCUUGACAUACUAUGCAAAUCUAGAGAUUAGACGUUCCCUUCGGGGACAUGGAUACAGGUGUGCAUGGUGUCGUCAGCUCGUGUCGUGAGAUGUGGGUAGUCCCGCACGAGCGCACCCUUAUUAUCAGUUGCCAGCAUUAAGUUGGCACUUCUGUGA
rnacentral:rRNA from 1 species